GGGUCCCUGGCGUAUACGCCAGACAGACAGUCCUCGAGCCGAUAAAUUUGUAACCGGGGGUUCUUCGUUGCUGUUGGUGUGCAUGUCCGGCCUGGUCCGGAACGCCUGAUGCGGCACAGGAACCACCACCUUGAACCGUCGGGUUCAGGGCAGCACUGUCAGCGGUACGCCGGGAAUCCA
rnacentral:other from 2 species